UACCAGCACCCCGAGUGGUCGGGACGAUUAUUGGGCCUAAAGCAUCCGUAGCCGGUUUUACAAGUCCUCCGUUAAAUCCACCUGCUUAACAGAUGGGCUGCGGAAGAUACUAUAGAGCUAGGAGGCGGGAGAGGCAAGCGGUACUCGAUGGGUAGGGGUAAAAUCCGUUGAUCCAUUGAAGACCACCAGUGGCGAAGGCGGCUUGCCAGAACGCGCUCGACGGUGAGGGAUGAAGGCUGGGGGAGCAAACCGG
rnacentral:rRNA from 1 species